rnacentral:misc_RNA from 1 species
UACCUUCUUUCUAUAUCAGCAGCGGUCAAGUUGACCCUGCUUCAUAAUUGAAAAGGAAAUCUCAUUUUUGUGACUUAAUCUUCAUCGUCUUUUUAACAUCUACUAUGUCUGGAAAUUGGAACAAUAGCCGUGGUGGAAACGGUGGUUCCAAGUUUGGAAGCGGUGGCUCCAAAUUUGGUAAUGGUGGCUCUAAAUAUGGAGGAGGUGGGGGCGGUCGCUUUGGUUCUGGGGGAGGUUUUGGCGGCAAAAAGGAUUUUUCUGGAGGCCAGAACAUGCGACGCCCCAACUGGGAUUCCAUGACCCUGCAGCCCUUCAACAAAAAUUUUUACAACCCACAUGAAUCUGUACUGAACAGGUCCCCAUAUGAGGUCGAAUCGUACAGAAACCAGCAUGAGAUCACCAUCAGUGGAGUCGACGUUCCAAAUCCUAUUCAACAUUUUGAUGAAGCUAACUUCCCUGAUUAUGUAAAUCAAGGAAUAUCAACUAUGGGCUACAAAGAACCUACACCAAUUCAAGCCCAAGGAUGGCCCAUUGCUAUGUCUGGAAAAAAUUUAGUUGGGAUUGCUCAGACUGGAUCUGGUAAAACUUUAGCAUACAUAUUGCCUGCAAUUGUUCACAUUAAUAACCAACAACCUAUAAGACGUGGUGAUGGCCCCAUCGCUUUAGUACUGGCUCCUACUAGGGAGUUAGCACAACAGAUUCAGCAGGUGACUACUGAAUUUGGUAAUGCUGCAUAUGUACGCAACACUUGUGUGUUCGGAGGAGCACCAAAAAGAGAGCAGGCCCGUGAUCUCGAAAGAGGAGUGGAAAUUGUGAUUGCAACACCUGGCCGUUUAAUUGAUUUCUUAGAAAGAGGCACCACCAACCUUCAACGAUGCACUUACUUGGUCUUGGAUGAAGCUGACCGAAUGUUAGACAUGGGCUUUGAACCUCAAAUCAGAAAAAUCAUUGAACAGAUUCGCCCUGACAGACAAACCUUGAUGUGGUCAGCCACAUGGCCAAAGGAGGUCAGGAAGUUGGCUGAAGACUAUCUCGGAGAUUAUGUACAAAUUAACAUUGGAUCUUUACAACUGUCUGCCAAUCACAACAUCUUGCAAAUUGUAGAUGUAUGUCAGGAGCAUGAGAAAGAAAACAAAUUAAAUGUAUUACUUCAAGAAAUUGGUCAGAGUCAAGAACCUGGUGCCAAGACAAUUAUCUUUGUUGAGACCAAGAAGAAAGUUGAGAAUAUCACAAGGAACAUUAGAAGAUAUGGAUGGCCUGCUGUUUGCAUGCAUGGUGACAAAACACAGCAAGAGAGAGAUGAAACAUUGUAUCAGUUUAAGCAAGGCCGUGCCAGUAUUCUUGUUGCAACUGAUGUUGCAGCUAGAGGAUUAGAGGCACUGGCGGAAAGUUAUUGUGUUCUAAACGCGUACUACCCCAAAUUAUUGGGAAAGCUACUGCACUGGAUUUGUAGAUGAAAAUUAGUCUGAUGCAGUUGUUUACUGAGAAUGCAAUAACUCGUCAUAACUAUGGUGCCUCAAAUGUGCCUUUCACUGUGACUGUACCCGAGGCCGGAAAGCUUGAUGGUAUGUCCGUACAAUGCGGAUACACUUGAAAGUGUGGAAAACCUGGUGAUGCACUACAUAAUAAAUUCAAAGAUUGAUAUAGACCUAGAGAAUGGUGCAUCGUUGAAAAACUUGACCACAAGUUGAGAUGAUCUGCGCGGGGUCAAGGGUUUUCUAUUUCGGCCAAUGGAGUUUUUAAAGGGGCAAUAGUAAAAAAGCAUUGCAAAUACCUAAUAACAUAAUAUGUCAAUAUGCCCUUGACAAGACUCCUGGGUUCUGAGUGAGAGGCAGAAUUUACUGUUGUUUCAUAAUCUGUGUAACUUUAUUCAUAUGUGGAUGGCAUCAAAUAUGUAAUCAACUUUGACUAUCCAAAUUCAUCUGAGGAUUAUAUUCACCGCAUUGGCAGAACAGGCC